rnacentral:rRNA from 1 species
UACGUAGGGUGCGAGCGUUAAUCGGAAUUACUGGGCGUAAAGCGUGCGCAGGCGGUUCGUCGUGUCUGAUGUGAAAUCCCCGGGCUCAACCUGGGAAUGGCAUUGGAAACUGGCGAACUAGAGUGUGGCAGAGGGGGGUGGAAUUCCGCGUGUAGCAGUGAAAUGCGUAGAGAUGCGGAGGAACACCGAUGGCGAAGGCAGCCCCCUGGGCUAACACUGACGCUCAGGCACGAAAGCGUGGGGAGCAAACGGG